rnacentral:rRNA from 1 species
GGUUAAAAAGCUCGUAGUUGGAUUUCUGUUGAGGAUGACCGGUCCGCUCUUUGAGCGCGUAUCUGGUUCAGCCUUGGCAUCCUCUUGGGGAACGCUACUGUGCUUGAUUGCAUGGGGCGGUAUUCAAGACUUUUACUUUGAGGAAAUUAGAGUGUUCACUGCAAGCGUUAGCAAUUGAAUACAUUAGCAUGGAAUAAUAAUAUAGGACCUUGGUACUAUUUUGUUGGUUUCUAGAACUAAGGUAAUGAUUAAUAGGGACAAUUGGGGGCAUUCGUAUUAACGCGUCAGAGGUGGAAUUCUUAGAUUGCGUUACGACGAACUACCGCGAAAGCAUUUGCCAAGGAUGUUUUCAUUGAUCAAGAACGAAAGUAUGGGGAUCGAAGACGCUUAGAUACCGUCGUAGUCUAUACCAUAAACUAUGCCAACUAGAGAUUGGAGGUCGUUCUCUUUAUGACUCCUUCAGCACCUUAUGAGAAAUCAAAGUCUUUGGGUUCCGGGGGGAGUAUGGUCGCAAGGCUGAAACUUAAAGGAAUUGACGGAAGGGCACCACCAGGAGUGGAGCCUGCGGCUUAAUUUGACUCAACACGGGAAAACUUACCAGGUCCAGACAUAGUAAGGAUUGACAGAUUGAUAGCUCU